UUAACUGCAAGCUACACACACACGGUUGACAUGUUAUGUCACUUAAACGGGUUACAUAUGCAGUUACAAGGAGGGAAAACAGUCGUGGAUAUGGUGGAAAAACUUGAGGCCUUUAUUAUUAGGAAGCUUGAGGUUUUCGAUUUGGACAUGUAAUCUGGAAGACUACUGCAUUUCAGCACACUGAAGAAACGACAGGCAGAGGGACCAGGCCACAGCAUUGUCACAGAGGUGAUGGAAGAUUUCAUCAAGCAGCUGAGGGACAACUUCUCCACCAGAUUUGAAGACUACAGCAUGCCCAAGGAUAUCAUUGCGUUUCAAGAUUUACAUGCUAAAAUCGCUACUGAUCUCAUGCGACAUCCACAAGAUCGUGUCCGAGGGGAAAUUCAACUUUUUCCGUUGACGGGGCAACAAAAAUUAAGUCCAGCCCUCCAAGGAAGCACAGGACAAGAUUAAGGUUCCCCAUGAGGAGGAGCAUUGCAUAAUGCCGAAAGCGGGAAAUUAUUCCAUCCACCUCUCAACCCUAGGAGAAGAAACAAAAACCCUCCAUCUUUGUCAGGAUAUACUCGACCAUAAACAAAGGCCUUUGCAACUCCUUCAAAGGUUCAUCCAUCAAGUAACAAUUGUAUCAACAAGAAUCCCGGGAAACAUAUUCCAGUUUGUGUUAGCGAAACAAUCCUGUAGCUUAGUAUCUGCUUCAUCGGACCACUUCCAUAUUGAGCACGUCACUGGUACUUCCUGUUUGAGUUUUUGCUUGUAAGCAGGAAUAUGGUCAGAUUUGCCAAAUGGAGAUUUCCCAAACCGAGGGAUAACUUUAUAUGCAUCUCUAUGUGUGGACUAAAGGUGAUCUAAAGUUUUGUAUUAAAGUCUUUAUUAAAGUCACCAGCCAUUAGGAGUGCUACCUCUGGGUGUGCUGCCUCUAUCAAUAGGUC